GUGCCAGCAGCCGCGGUAAUACGAACCGUACAAACGUUAUUCGGAAUCACUGGGCUUAAAGGGUGCGUAGGCGGCCAUGUAAGUGAGGUGUGAAAUCCCUCGGCUCAACCGAGGAACUGCGCUUCAUACUGCAUGGCUUGAGGGAGACAGGGGUAAGCGGAACUGAUGGUGGAGCGGUGAAAUGCGUUGAUAUCAUCAGGAACACCGGUGGCGAAAGCGGCUUACUGGGUCUCUUCUGACGCUGAGGUACGAAAGCUAGGGUAGCGAACGGGAUUAGAUACCCCAGUAGUCC
rnacentral:rRNA from 1 species